AAUCUCUGCACCCAACAUGGAACUCAAACCCACAACCUCCAGAUCAAGAGGUGCAUGGUUCACCGACUGAACCAGUCAGGUGGCCCUAAACCUCACAUCUUAGAUAAAAAUAUACUCAAAAUAGAUCAAGAACUAAAAUGUAAAACAUAAAUCUAUAAACACGUUACAAAAAAAUAGAGAAAGAUUUUUGGGAGCUAGGGCUUUGGUGAAUAGAUUUUAGACCUAAAAAACUCAAUAUGCCUAAAACCUAAAACCUUUUUAUACAAAAAACGAAAAAUACCCAUAAAGGAAAACACUGAUAAAUUGGUCUUCAAAAUUAAAAACUCUGUGCUUUGCUGAAGAGCCUGUGGAGAGGACGCAAAGGCAAGCUGUGGAGUGGCAAAGUGUUUGCAAACCACACCUCUGACAACGUUGUUGUAUCUAGAAUGAGGAAAUCUCAAAACAAAGAAACAAUCCAAUGAGAUAGUUCAAAUUCAACAGGCAAAAGACUCAAAUGGAUUCCACCAGCUAGGAAAUAAGCACAUCUAGCCAUUAGAAAAAUAUAAAUUAAGGUCACAGUGAGAUAUUACUACACACCUAUCAGAAGGGCUAAAGUAACUAAAAAGUGUAACACCAAAUAUUGGUGAGGAUGUGGAAACUGGAUCACUCAUACACUGCUAGGAGGAAUGCAGAACGUCACAGCUACUCUGGGAAAGAGUUUCAGUUCUUUUUAACGUUAAGUGUGCCGUUGCCACAGGGCCCAGCAAUUGCAUUCUUGGAUGUUUAUUGCAGAGAAACAAAACUUAUGUUUACCUAAAAACCUAUACACAAAUGUGCUUAGCUGCUUUAUUCAUAAUAGGCCCAAACUGGACACAAGUCUCAAUGUUCCUCAAAGUGCAAAUGGUUAAACAGACUGUGGUAUAUCCAUACCAGGAAGUAUGACUCAGCAAUAAAACCAAAGGAACUACUGAAACACACAACCUCAGAUGGCUAUCUUACAUGCUGAGUGAAAUUAAAAGGCUGUAACUUUAUGAUUCCAUUUAUAUUAACAAUCUUUUUUCCCCCAGUAAACUCUAUGCCGAACGUGGGGCUUGAACUCACGACCCCUGAGAUCAAGAAUUGCAUGCUCUGACUGAGCCAGCCAGGUGCCCCCAUUUAUAUAUUAAUAAUCUUUAUAUAAAAUUAUAAAGAUGAACAGAAGAGUAGCCACCAGGGGUUUGGGAUGGGGGAGAGGUGGAUGCGGUUAUGGAGAAGCAGCAUAAUGGGAGUAGUGGUGUUGACAGAAAUGUUUUGCAUCUUGAUUGUGGUGAUUGUUAAUGUGAAUCCACACAUAACCAAACUGCACAGAACUGUGCACGUGCGCGCGCGCGCGCACACACACACACACACACACACACACACACACACAGGACAAGAUGGAAUCCGAAUAAGCUCUGUGGGUUGUACCAAUGCCAAUCCCCUGGGUUUGAUUCUGCACUUGUUAUACAAGAUGCUACCGCUGGGGGGGAACGGGGCAAAGGGUACAUGGAACCUCCCUGAACAUUUUUGUUUGUUUGUUUGCUUGUUUUUGAGACAGAGACAGGGGAGGGGGGCAGAGAGAGAGGGAGACAGAGGAUCUGAAGCGGGCUCUGAGCCGACAGCAGAGAGCCCAAUGCAGGGCUUGAACUCACAAACUGGGAGAUCAUGACCUGAGCCCAAGUUGGAUACUUAACCAACUGAGCCAUGCAGGUGCCCCUGAACAUUUUUGUUUUUGCCAACACCCUGUGAAUCUGUAAUUUUAAAAAUAGAAAGAAAAAAGGUCCAUCAGAGUGAGAUGCCUGAUGACCUAAAUGACAUAGGUCUUGGGUUUGCUUUAAAAAAAAAACCUCUAGUUAGAAAAAAUAAAGGAAAAACAAGUGGGAGAGAUCGAUGAAACAGAACUGAAAAGAUGUCAGUAACUGUUGAUGCUGGGUGAAGGAUAUUCAGGGAAAGCAUAUAUACUUUCCUCAUUCUGUAUUUGAAAAUUCCCAAAAUAGAAGUUUUAUAUAGUUCCCAGGAGUACGUGGUUCAACAGAAGGACUAAACCUUAUCUGUCUACAGUCUUACUCAUUGCUGGAAUUUCUGAAUACAGAUUAAGUUCAAAGUAUAUCAUUCUGUUUCAUUUGCAAAGUUUUUAUUAGGACUUUUUAUUUAUGACGUUUAGAGCUCAUAAAUCACAUUCUUAAUCUGGCUCUGCUUACUACUUUUUCCCUCCAAGAAGUCUCCCAAAGUUAUAAAAAAAAUAGAAAUUUAUAAAUACACAUUGAGAAUUAUGCACAGUUUUUACACAAUAAUAGUCGGGUCAAUGUUUCCAGCUGUCUAAUCAUCUCCCAGGACCUCUCAUCCGAAACAGAAUGACGGACUCCGAAAUCUCUACAGCAGAAAUGGCAACUCUGGCCCCAACCCACCAUCCGUCCUCAGCAUCACGGCACUGGGCAGGCACUGGGCAGGUGUUGGUUUUGGACAGUCAUGGCAAAACAGGAACUGCAGAAAUGCUAGUUGGGAUGGCGGCGCUGUGAGCAGAGGACAGGAAGCCGGGAAGGUUUCAGCCCUGUAUCUGCCACAGCUCAUACCUGGGACUGUAUUUAAACUCCACAGCCCAAGAAUCGCCAAGAGCUGAACCACAGACUCAGCAUAGGCCCAAUCUGACUGCGGCCAACUGGAAGAGUUCCAGGCCAUUACAAACCUGAAAAACGCUUCCUUGGUCCAGAGGUGGGGAACCCAAAUGUCUCCUUAGUCUGUCGUUUUCAGUCACUAACAAGCAGCUCUUUCCUUCCAGACAAUGGGAUGGAGUGCCUGGGGCUACAGUGAGGCCAGAGGGACAUGGUGGCUGCUGUCAAGUUCAAGUUUUCAAAUUCACCAAGAGCAUAGAAAAUGGAGAGAUUACUCUGGAAGAGGAGCAUAAGGAAAGUUCAAUAUGGACCUUAGGUCACUAACCCAGGGAACGCCUUGGUCAUCCUGUGUUAACUUCCAGGUGUCACUGGCAUUUUUCUUCUUUGGACUUGAUUUUUAAAUCUCUUCCUUUGGAGACCAGCCAAAGGGUAUCAGCUUGCCCAGCAUCUUCCUUAAGGAAGAUUUUUUUUUUUUUUUGGUUUGUAGGGUACAUCAAGGAUAAAGUCUUCUCUCCCCAGGAGGAAAGGAGGUUGGACAGAUUCAGACCUGCUUCUGGAAGAACACCCUGGCUUGGCCUGCAGGCUCCUCUGAGCCCACCUCCACCAUAAGGUGGGGCCACAGCCUUCUGAACACGCCAGCCUUCCAGCAGACUGGCCAGGCCCAUCCUUCAAAAUCUCACCCUCCCCUGACCCCCGCCAUCAAAUCCCUUUCCUAUUGCUUACAAUCGCUGAUUCUUCUACAAGUCACAGUAUAAUAUAGCCACUGAUUUAGGCUCUUGUCAGAGAAAACUUCUUUUCCUGAGAUGGGGCAGGACUUGGCAGUUCCCAAGCAUGCAUCCCACAGAGGGACAAUAAGUGACAAAUCUCUCAGGAGAGAGUGCUGCCCAGCUUUAUGGGGGCGUUCAAGUGCCAGUGAGAGUCAGUGCUGCCCUUAUUCUCCUCUGCCUUUAACAUGCCUGCACACGCCUCCUGACUCCUGCCAGCCCCAGAUCAAGACUGUGAUGGGUGGGCCUCCUGUUUCCAACGGGUUGAGGGAGGACAAAGUCACCUUCCAUCAGCUCGCAGGGCACUUGGAGCCCAGGUGAGGAGAGAAGUAAGAUUGAGGUUCUGGGGCAAUAAAUUGGUGCCACAAGUUAUCUGUGAGUCAGUAAGAGGGGUCCAGGUAUCCUGAACUACAAACGAGGCAAGCGGUCUUUCUGGCAGUAAGCACAGCAGGCAAAGAACCCUUUCUUUCCUGCCACCUUCCCUGGCCUUCCAGGUUUCAAAGGAAUCAAGUCCUGUGAUAAUAACUGAAGUCACUGGCUGUUCCUGCGCCCCACAGCAUGGCCAGGUUGAUUAGGAGAAGCUGAUCAUUACCGUCCCGUCUUCCUCCACCCAAAUAUCCAGUGAAAGUAGGUAAUCUUAAUAUUGAGUUUGCUAUUAAAAUCAUGUCCAGUCACAUCCGGCUGCCUGGGCUUGACCUCGAGGAGGCCACCCUCUCUUCUUCCUUGAGUGGCUUUAACGGCCCCGAGAGAGUGGUGUCCGCGUCUCUGUACAAGGCAGGCUUCCUUCUCGGCUCACGAGAGGGACCUAGAAAGAAGAAGAAUCCAUGGAGCCUGCCCGGUGGGGGCCCCACCUGCUUCUUCUAAGGGGGACGGCUCCAGGGCUGUGAAGGCUUGUCCCCCAGCUGCAGGAUGCUCAACCUCUUUGCAAUAAGAGGUACAUUGGGGGAGGGGGGAUGAGUGAGGUGAGGAAAAGGGAAAAGAUUUCCUCUCGCCAGAGGAGCUUUCCCCACGUUUCAGACCUGCUGGGGAGCCUCUCUUUCCUGCCAAGGAGGAGAGAAGGCCACCUCGGUUGGCCAGACAAGCCUCUCUGCACCCCAGCCUCCAACUCACUUCUUCCUGCGAAUCUUGGGUUUCUUCACAGGUCGCAGAUAAGGGUUAUCGAUGAUGUUCUCCUCCCCAUUCCGGCUUCCCGACAAAGAGGGGUUCUGCUGCAGGACAGAGGUGUUCUCCUUCUCGGCUCCAGAAUCAUCCUUUGAGCAGAAGCCGAAAUAAAGCAAAAUACCAAUGGCAUAAGGAAAGAGAUCAUGCCCAUCGUAGGAACUACUAUUAGCAUCCCUUUCGUCAAGAAAUUAGAAGCCCAGGGACUUCUUGCUAAUGUACCUAUCCCUGCCCCAGAUGAGAUGAGGCCCAGGCAGGGGCCGGCUAUCAGAGGAAGACGAGACCAACCGCCUGGACACAGGGGAGCACAGAACCCAAAACUCUGAGCCUCUCGAGAAGACAGGGACAUGAGUUAGAAUAGAGUCUUGGCAGGGAGUCAGGGGCUAACAGUUACAUGUUCAAGGAGGAAA